rnacentral:rRNA from 1 species
GGGCGAAAGCCUGAUCCAGCCAUGCCGCGUGUGUGAAGAAGGUCUUCGGAUUGUAAAGCACUUUUAGUUGGGAGGAAGGGCAUUAACCUAAUACCUUAGUGUUUUGACGUUACCGACAGAAUAAGCACCGGCUAACUCU